AAUUGACUCUGAUGAGCUUGUCA
rnacentral:piRNA from 1 species